GACGAACGCUGGCGGCGUGCUUAACACAUGCAAGUCGAACGGAAAGGCCCUGCUUUUGUUGGGUGCUCGAUUGGCGAACGGGUGAGUAACACGUGAGUAACCUGCCCUUGUCUUUGUGAUAACUUCAGGGAACUGGGGCUAAUACCGGAUAGGAUCUCCUGCUGCGUGGUGUUGGUUGGAAAGUUUCGGCUGUUGGGGAUGGACUCGCUGCUUAUCAGCUUGUUUGUGGGGUAGUGGCUUACCAAGGCUUUGACGGGUAGGCCGCAUGAGAGGGUGACCGGGCACAUUGCGACUGAGAUACGGCGCAGACUCCUAUGGGACGCAGUAGUGGGGAAUAUUGCACAGUGGGCGGAAGCGUGAUGCAGAAACGCCGGGUGCGGGAUGCCCGGCUUCGGGUUGUAAACCGCUUUCGAAUGUGACGAAGACUGAGUGACGGUAAUGGGUAAAGAAGCACCGGCUAACUACGUG
rnacentral:rRNA from 1 species